CCUACGGGGGGCAGCAGUGAGGAAUAUUGGUCAAUGGGCGCUAGCCUGAACCAGCCAAGUAGCGUGAAGGAUGACUGCCCUAUGGGUUGUAAACUUCUUUUAUAUGGGAAUAAAGUGCAGUAUGUAUACUGCUUUGCAUGUACCUUAUGAAUAAGGAUCGGCUAACUCCGUGCCAGCAGCCGCGGUAAUACGGAGGAUCCGAGCGUUAUCCGGAUUUAUUGGGUUUAAGGGGAGGGUAGCCGGGUUGGUAAGUCAGUGGUGAAAGUGUGGGGCUCAACCGUAAAAUUGCAGUUGAUACUGGCAGCCUUGAGUACAGUAGAGGUAGGCGGAAUUCGUGGUGUAGCGGUGAAAUGCUUAGAUAUCACGAAGAACUCCGAUUGCGAAGGCAGCCUGCUGUACUGUAACUGACGCUGAUGCUCGAAAGUGUGGGUAUCAAACAGGAUUAGAUACCCGUGUAGUC
rnacentral:rRNA from 1 species